AUGAAUUCGUUUCAUCGCGGACGACCGGACGUGUCCGUCAAGUCUUCCUGCGCCGUCCUCCGCGCCGGUAGUCACCCAUACCCGAUCGUAAACCCCGCGUGGAGGCCGCCGGGGACGGGAAGCAGGAGCCGUCGGCGUGCCAGGCGUCGACGUUUCGCUGAGCUGGCGGAGGCGUGCGACGCCAUCCCCCACGUGCUCCAAGGGAAGGACCUGAUCGCGCUGGCGCAGACGGGUCCGGGAACACGGGCGCGUUCGUGCUGCCCAUCGUGCAGAAGCUGCUAAGCAACCGUCAGGCUGAUCAGCCUUUCUUCGCUUGCGUGCUCAGGCCAACCGGUAUUUAAUUUCGAGUGUCCGUGGUUGCUAUUGCUACUCAGAGAUCUAGCGAUUCAGAUUGCGAGGAGCAGUUUCAGGCGCUCGGGUCAGCUACUGGUCUGCCUUGCUCAGUGCUUGUUGGAAAUGGAUCGGGUGCAACAAGUGCUACCCAUUAGCAAACGUCCACAUAUUGUGCAUGGAAACUAGUAACAAGACCAAAAAGCGAAGGAGACUUGGGUGUGCUCAACAUUUCGGUACAUAAUGAGGCAUUCUUAAUGAAGAAUCUGCAUAAAUUCUUUAACAGGCACAACAUCCCUCGGGUUCAGUUACUCUGGAGUCUGGAACCACUAUUACACUAUUACCGAGGGGGGCUGUAUCUAGACUAAAAAGGCAAAUAAUAGUCUCCUGUGACUUGGAAAUAAUCAUUCUGAUGGGUGUGGAUGAUGUUCCGCUGCCUGAAAGUUGCAUGCAGAAGGAUUUUUCAAACAAGAGCUACUAUUGGUUAUUCACAAGGCUGGGAAUACUUCCUUGGGGUGAAACUCCUGUCUAUCUUUUGGACCAUUUGACAGAGACUAAAGGUUUUUAGUCUCAAGAAAAUCAAGUAUAUGGUAUGUAUUCAUUUUUCUUAUCCAAGUAAAAAUUCUCAAGGUGUACGUUGUAAUUUUUUUGCUAGAUACUUCCUUGGGGUGAAAGCCCUGGCCGUUCUUUGAGCCAUUUGAUAGAGACUAAAGUUUCUUAGGUUGGAACUCCUGGCCGUCUUUUGGACCAUUUGACAGAGACUAAAGGUUUUAGUGUUAAGGAAGUCAAGUAUUUGGUUUUCAUUUGUAUCUUAUGAUUUUUGUUUCCUAGAUACUUCCUAGGUCUAGAACCCGAUAUAAUCCUAGCAUAGUACCGAGUCAAGGCAUCUUUAAGUCUGACUAACUUUAUAUAGGAAGGUACCAAUAUUUAUGAUACCAUAUAAGUAUCAUUAGCUGUAGAUAGCACUUAAUCUUUGUGCAGAUCAGGGAGGGAGCGGCAUUUUUGUGCAUGUACUCCAAUGAAAACUAGUGCACAAUGUCGACUCUUUAGUACCUCGAGAAAAUAUUGAGACAUUUUUAA